UUCUUUCUCCCAAACCAGAGCAUGACAAAGGGGACAUUCCAUGAUCCCAUUAGUUGCCUUUUUAAGAGAUCGUGACGUCUUCCCAGAAUUGCGUGAUGUCCCUGAAGUGCGUGAUGACUUCCCUAAAGUGUGGGGUCUGGAGCCUACGCAAACAAAUGUUGCCCAAAGUUAGUAUGGGUGAUUGGUCAUUUCAUAUUUGAAGAGAGUAGGUGAAUCUGUUAUUUCCAUAUUCAAAAAGUUGAAGACAAAGGAGGAGAAAGCUAGUCCAUGGUCGGAUAUCUUUUUGCUUACUUGGGUGCUUUCGGAUUGACUUCUUUGAUAAUAGUAUGGCUCGCCGCAUUUCCCUUGCUCUUCUUUGAGUAUCUGCAGGUUUAUGGGUGAAGCUUACCUUUACGGUUUGAGUUUUCGCCAGAGGAGCUAGGGAUCAUUGACGACGUGUCUGAUCGGAGGAGAGUGUUUUGUCUGUGGCGUUUGUUCCAUUCAGUUGCUGUUGGAUCGUCUGUUUUCCUUUUUCCCAUGAUGAACAGUUGUGAUUUUGGUGUAAAAACUCUGUGCGUGUUAGUCCUAAAGACGGGGUGUAGGAAUUCUGAUGAACAGUCGUGGUCUUGUUGGUCUGAUUACGUAACGUAUAUUUGUUGUGGAGACAUUUACAUAAUGAACCCCAUUUAUUUUCACUAUA